CUUUAGAUGGCUGAGAAAUAAGCAUUGAUCUUUUAAAUCAAGAACGGUUUUAUUUAACCUCUAAAGG
rnacentral:tRNA from 1 species